AUUGAACGCUGGCGGCAGGCCUAACACAUGCAAGUCGAGCGAGUGGCGGACGGGUGAGUAAUGUAUGGGGAACUGCCUGAGAGAGGGGGAUAACUACUGGAAACGGUGGCUAAUACCGCAUACUAUCGGAUGAACCCAUAUGGGAUUAGCUGGUUGGUGGGGUAACGGCUCACCAAGGCGACGAUCUCUAGCUGGUCUGAGAGGAUGAUCAGCCACACUGGGACGGAGACACGGCCCAGACUCCUACGGGCGGCAGCAGUGGGGAAUAUGGCACAAUGGGCGCAAGCCUGAUGCAGCCAUGCCGCGUGUAGGAAGAAGGCCUUAGGGUUGUAAAGUACUUUCAGCGGGGAGGCGUUACCCGCAGAAGAAGCACCGGCUAACUCCGUGCCAGCAGCCGCGGUAAUAC
rnacentral:rRNA from 1 species